AUGCUUUGCUUUGUGGGCUCUGUGGCUCAGAGAAGGCAGGCAUGCAUCCCUGAUAAAUAGCAUUGAUAUAAGGCACCAAGGAAUCCUAUGGAAAUUUCUCCAUCAGCAUAUUUUUAGGCUGAAACAAGUGUUUCAUGGGUGAUUGGCACAUCCCCCUUUAUUCCAGAAGGCUGACUACAGGAAAAUUCUCUCAAACUGGGUAACAAGGCGGAACACAGAGAAAUCAGUAUUGGCUGGAAGAGCUCCUGUAGGAAGCAAUUUGAUCAAAAAAUAAGUGUGCCUGCUUUGCUGGUAUAGAGAGAAUACACUUGCUGCAGACAUUUGGAAGCAAAUGGAAAUAAUUGGAGGGAAUGACCAGAUCCACAGGCUAAUUAUGACUUUCUCUUGUCUGCACCUUUUAAAAAUGUACUAUUAGGCUCUGUUGCUAACUUUUGAAUGUCUGGGUUCUGGAUGAUAAGGUCAAAAUUGGCUUUGACUUUAUCACUGGAACAGCCUAUCCCUUGUAUUUUAGUGCUUAACCGUUGAGAUGAAUUUUGGAUCUUGGAUGUGUAUUAAA
ensembl:lncRNA